AGCCGUGCUGACGCCGGCGGCGGCGGCGGCGUCGGCGGCGGCCCGGGCGCAGGGCACCCGGCGCAAGUCAGGUCGCCGCGCGACUAGGGCAGUCCGCGUCGCCAUGGUCCGCUCCCCGAGUUCGAAGCCCGUGGCCGAGGAGUCUGCACAAACUGCAUUCAUUGGCAGAAGAUGCGAUGGAAACCAUCAGUGUUAGGGGGUUGAUGACCUGGAACUUUGACAGAGUGUGUGUGAUGGAUCGAAGAGGCUCAACAUGUUUCAAAUGAAGGACUCUGCACCUAGAAGUGAGCACCAGAUCUGGGCAGAUAGAGUUUCCCAGGGAGCCUGGCUGCACCCUGGCCUGCGGUGUCUGUAAAACUGCCACAAAACUCAGGAAAAGCUGCUUUUUCCGAAAGAGAAAGCAAGAGAUGAUUUUAAGUAUCCAAAUUGCUUUGAAAUGAAGUCUGUACUGAUAACUGAGAGAAGAGGGGCUUAUAGGUUUCACGGAGUCGCAAAGGUUUUCAUAGCCUCCGCUUUCAUCUGCUUGGAAACGCCAGCCUGUUUUUCACCUCGGUCGUGUGUGGAGGUUAAGAAAGUGGGCAUUAGCGCUCAGUCUCCUGGGUUUGUGUUCUGACUCUGCUGCUCUUAGCCGGGCAGGUUAUUUGACCUCACUUUGCCUGUUUCUUCUUGAAAGUGGGGAUAGUCACGGUACCUACUUGUUAAAUUGAUGAGGAUUACAAGUGGGAUUAUCCAGAUAAGGUAUUUAUCAUAGGCCUUGGGAUUAGGUAUGAUAUGUCUGACCAUCACCAGUAUUUUCCAGGGCACCAUAGGCUUCACGAGGACAGGAGCUAUUGCCUUCCUCACUGCUGUAACCCCAAGUCCUAGUACAGUGCCUGCCUGGUACACAGUAAUCUCUGUGUUUGUUGAGUAAAUGAAUAAUGUACUUCA